rnacentral:rRNA from 2 species
UUGGAGGGCAAGUCUGGUGCCAGCAGCCGCGGUAAUUCCAGCUCCAAUAGCGUAUAUUAAAGUUGUUGCAGUUAAAAAGCUCGUAGUUGAAUUUCGGAGUUUGUCGGUCGGUCGGGCUUCACUGUCCGCACUGGCCUGACGGAUUCCUACCUUCUGAAUAACCAGCAUGCUAUUAAGUUAGUGCGUUGGGGAAGCAGAGCUAUUACCUUGAAAAAAUUAGAGUGCUUAAAGCAGGCUUAUGCUUGAAUAGAUUAGCAUGGAAUAAUAAAAUAGGACGGCAUGGUUCUAUUUUGUUGGUUUCUAGGAUCACCGUAAUGAUUAAUAGGGAUAGUUGGGGGCAUUAGUAUUCAAUUGUCAGAGGUGAAAUUCUUGGAUUUAUUGAAGACUAACUUCUGCGAAAGCAUUUGCCAAGGAUGUUUUCAUUAAUCAAGAACGAAAGUUAGGGGAUCGAAGACGAUCAGAUACCGUCGUAGUCUUAACCAUAAACUAUGCCGACUAGGGAUCGGACGAUGUUAAUUUUUUAAUGACUCGUUCGGCGCCUUACGGGAAAC